CUUUUCUUCUUCUACCUUUUUUCUCCAUCGUUUCACAAUAAUAAUAAGUAAACCGAGAGAUCCAAAUGUAAGAGGCAGGUCACUGUAAUACUCACUGAUCCAUUUCUCUAUCUCUGCAACUUCUUGCCUCCUCUGUUCUUUCAGCCACUCUGGGUCGUCUUUUGUAGCAGCCCUGAGAUCCGUAUGAACCCUGAAAAUUACAGAAACAUCAAGUCUACCGCCAUUUAUAGAGAUUUAAUAGUGACAUGGAAUGAGGAAUG